UGUUGAUGGUGAUGAUCAUGAUCAUGAUGAUAAUGAUGAUGAUGAUGGUGAUGAUCAUGAUCAUGAUGAUGAUGAUGAUGAUGAUCAUAA